GCAAGUUGAGCGGGAUUCUAAAAGCUUGCUUUUAGAUGAGAGCGGCGAACGGGUGAGUAACACGUGAGUAACCUGCCUUUCAGUUGGGGAUAGCCCUCCUAACGGGGGAUUAAUACCGAAUAUUGUAAUACUAUCACAUGGUGGAAUUACAAAAGGCGCAUUGUGUCGCUGAAAGAUGGACUCGCGGUAGAUUAGUUUGUUGGUGAGGUAAUGGCUCACCAAGACUACGAUCUAUAGCCGGCCUGAGAGGGCGAUC
rnacentral:rRNA from 1 species